AGUGAACGCUGGCGGUAGGCCUAACACAUGCAAGUCGAACGGCAGCACAGGAGAGCUUGCUCUCUGGGUGGCGAGUGGCGGACGGGUGAGGAAUACAUCGGAAUCUACUCUGUCGUGGGGGAUAACGUAGGGAAACUUACGCUAAUACCGCAUACGACCUACGGGUGAAAGCAGGGGACCUUCCGGCCUUGCGCGAUUGAAUGAGCCGACGUCGGAUUAGCUAGUUGGCGGGGGAAAGGCCCACCAAGGCGACGAUCCGUAGCUGGUCUGGGAGGAUGAUCAGCCACACUGGAACUGCGACACGGUCCAGACUCCUACGGGAGGCAGAAGUGGGGAAUAUUGGACAAUGGGCGCCAGCCUGAUCCAGCCAGACCGCGUGGGUGAAGAAGGCCUUCGGGUUGUAAAGCCCUUUUGUUGGGAAAGAAAUCCAGCUGGCUAAUACCCGGUUGGGAUGACGGUAGCCAAAGAAUAAGCACCGGCUAACUUCGUGCCAGCCGCCGCGGUAA
rnacentral:rRNA from 1 species